UACGGGAGGCAGCAGGCGCGCAAAUUACCCACUCCCGACUCGGGGAGGUAGUGACGAAAAAUAACAAUACAGGACUCUUUCGAGGCCGUGUAAUUGGAAUGAGUACACUUUAAAUCCUUUAACGAGGAUCCAUUGGANNGC
rnacentral:rRNA from 1 species